CUCCAUAGUCUAGAGUGACUAUCACACUGGAUUGAAAGUCAAAUGUCCUACGCUGAAUUCCUGGCUCUGCUUCGAAUUAGAAAAAAAAAACAUUUUUUCUCCCCAAAGCUGGAAUUCCAGGUAAGCCAAGAAUUCCCAGAUUACUGGAAGGGAAAGAAAUCAAGUGGAAAAAGCCAAAGAUAAUGGAAGUAAUCUGACAUGCCACCUCCUUGAGAUCUGAUGCCUUGCAGGUUCUAUCUAUAUUUGAAAGGUCAUAUAUGAAGAAUAUUUAAAAUGCC